rnacentral:misc_RNA from 1 species
UUUCCGUAGGUGAACCUGCGGAAGGAUCAUUACCGAGUGAGGGUCUCUCAGUCCCUACCUCCUAUCCUGUGUUUUCAUGACCUUUUUGCUUUUGCGGGUCCGUCUCGAUGUUAGACUGCCGUUAUCUCACCGCUGUGUGCCCGUGCCCGCCCGUAUCCCCCUUAAAUUCUUAAUAAACCUUUCGUACGAGUCUAUAUAUAAUAAAAAAAACUUUCAACAAAGAAUCUCUUGUUUCUAGCAUAGAUGAAGAACGCAGCAUAUCGGAAGAACACACGUCUA